UCCGGUUUGUCACCGGCAGUCUCAUUAGAGUGCCCAACUGAAUGUAGCAACUAAUGACAAGGGUUGCGCUCGUUGCGGGACUUAACCCAACAUCUCACGACACGAGCUGACGACAGCCAUGCAGCACCUGUGUUCCCGCCAGCCUAACUGAAGGAUCUCAUCUCUGAAAUCCAUACGGGACAUGUCAAGGGCUGGUAAGGUUCUGCGCGUUGCUUCGAAUUGAACCACAUGCUCCACCGCUUGUGCGGGCCCCCGUCAAUUCCUUUGAGUUUCAGCCUUGUGACCGUACUCCCCAGGCGGGGCACUUAAUGCGUUAGCUUCGGCACUGCGGGGGUCGAUACCCGCAACACCAAGUGCCCAUCGUUUACAGCGUGGACUAC
rnacentral:misc_RNA from 1 species